rnacentral:rRNA from 1 species
UACGGAGGGUGCAAACGUUGCUCGGAAUCAUUGGGCGUAAAGCGCACGUAGGCGGACCGCUAAGUCGGAUGUGAAAUCCCUCGGCUUAACCGAGGAAGUGCAUUCGAAACUGACGGUCUUGAGUAUGGAAGAGGGUCGCGGAAUUCCCGGUGUAGAGGUGAAAUUCGUAGAUAUCGGGAGGAACACCAGUGGCGAAGGCGGCGACCUGGGCCAAUACUGACGCUGAGGUGCGAAAGCGUGGGGAGCAAACAGG